UACGAGGGGGGCGAGCGUUGUUCGGAAUCAUUGGGCGUAAAGAGCGUGUAGGCGGCCCGGUAAGUCCGCUGUGAAAGUCCAGGGCUCAACCCUGGAAUGCCGGUGGAAACUGUCGGGCUAGAGUCCGGAAGAGGCGAGUGGAAUUCCUGGUGUAGCGGUGAAAUGCGCAGAUAUCAGGAGGAACACCAAUGGCGAAGGCAGCUCGCUGGGACGGUACUGACGCUGAGACGCGAAAGCGUGGGGAGCAAACAGG
rnacentral:rRNA from 1 species